CUAAUUUUUAAAAGUAUUUACGAGAAUUUUCUUUCCAAAUUUGGGGGAUUUUUAAAAAAAUAAAACUUAAGAUAAUUUUUUAAGGAAUUAUAGGAAUUUUUUUCCUGAAGGUUUUGCAAAUUUAAAGUUUGAAAAUGUGGGAAAUAAUAUAUUUUCACAGCGAAACUUCUGAUGUCCACAUUUUCAACAUUUUGUGAAGUUUUUAGGAUUUUUUUUUUUGGAAGAUUUUUACUUUUUUUUAAAAAAAUUAUCAUCAAGAAUUUACUUGUCAAAUUACUUAUAAAAAACUUUUGUGAAACUUUUAUGGAAUUAAUGUAGUUUUUCUUUUUUUGCAAAUUUUCAGAAAUUUAGUGAAUUGUUUUUGCUGAUUUCUUUGAUUUUUUCAGAUGAGGAAAACUAUUUUUGGUGCCCAUAAAUGAGGACAGCAGGAGGGUUAAUAUCCAGGUUUUGACACUUUGAUGUGCUAACAUUUAGGCUUUUGGAUGUUUUGGUGCAGUCAUGACCUUUUUGGCAUUUAGAUGUGUUAAUAUCUGUGUUUUAGACGUUUUAGUGCAUUAAAAUCCUCGUUUUUGAUGUUUUUAAUGUGUGAAUAUCAAAGUUUUUGACACUUCAGUGUGUUAACAUCUGUUAUUGGAUAUUUUGGUACAAUAAUUAGCUGUUUUGGGGGGCAUUUAGAUGUGUUAAUAUUCAAGUUUUUGACAUUUUGGUGCAUUGGUAUCCAAGUUUAUGACAUUUUCAUUUGUUAAUAUCCAAGUUUUUUACCUGGAUUUUUGUCUUUUGGUGCAAUAAUCUUGACAUUUGAUGUGUUCAUAUUCUGGUUUUAGACAUUUUGAUGGAUUUCCAUGCAGCUUCUUGUUGUCUUGCUGUGUUAUUAUCCAGGUUUUAGCAUUUUGUAGCAGUAGCGUACAUGUGUUUUUAGCUGUAAAACACCAAACCUCACGGUGAACUUUUGCUUUAAACGUCUUCACAUUCUCUCCCUCCGGUCCUAAUUGCCUCGGUCCACCGCUCUCUGCAGAUGUCUCGCUUCUUAAUUUGCGUAGAGAGCAACAAUCAGCCCCAUCUGUCCCAGUUUUUACUUUCCUCCUCCCCCUGAAAAAUCACCUCUGCGCCCCCCUCCCCUCCACUAAAUCUCCUUAGUAAGCCCACCACGCUCCCCUCCUCCCAAACACAACCUUGUCAGUGGUGUGGGGAUUGAAAGCCAAUCAAAAAGCUAUAGAAGAGUGCUUUGGUGUGCAGGGACACAAUCGGGGGGCCGUAGGGUUGGGCCGAGGCCCCCCCACCAGCCCUGUGUUUGGGGCUGCAGGGUCCCGACAGCCGCUGUGAAAGAGGCUCAGGCCCGGAGAAACCGGGACAGAUGGGAGGAAUAAUCACUGUGUCGUCCUCCGUCCAUCCAUCCGUCCACUCUGACACUCACAUCCAACUUGUUGACACUUUGGUGGGUUAUUAUCCAGGUUUCUGAUGCUUGGAUGCAUCAAAUACUAGAUUUUUGAUGCUUUCAUGUGUUAACGUCCAGGUUUUUGACACUUCAGUCCAUUCUCAUCCAGGUUUCUGCUUCUUUGAAAAGUUAAUAUCCAUGUUUUUGAUAUUCCAGUUCAUGAUUAUCCAAGUUUUUGACUCUUAUGAUUCAGUUUCCUCAUACUCUGAUGCAUCAAAAUCCAGCUUUUUAAUAUUUUUGUGUCUUAAUAUAUGUGUUUGAUGCUUUGGUCCAUUAAUAUCCAGCUUUUUGUCACUUUAAUGGGUUAAUAUCCCAGUUUUUGGUGUUUUAUUGUAUUAAUAUCCAGAUUUUGACACUUUGGUGUGUUAACAUAGAAACAUCUGGAUUUUUUUGGAGCAUUAAUAUCCUGUUUUUUCUACAUUUAGUGCAUUAUCCUUCUGGGGCUUCAGAAUCUAGAUUUUUUUUGGGGGCAUUUUAAUGCAUUCAUUAUCAAAUUUUCACAUUUUUCUGAGUUGUUGUCACAGCUGGAGGCUGUGAUUAGGUGGCAGUUCUCUCUCUCUCUCUCUCUCUCUCUCUCUCUCUCUCUCUCUCUCUCUCUCUCUCUCUCUCUCUCUCUCUCUCUCUCUCUCUCUCUCUCUCUCUCUCUCUCUGAGGCUGCAGCAGGUGGAGGUGAUUCCAGUCAGCUGACUGGCUGAUCAGCUGUUCUGCUUUGGAUUUGUUUGGGAGUGUUGGGAUGUUGUAUUCGUGUUCUUGCAGACUAGGACAUUUAUUUUGGUUCAUGUUUUUGUUUUCCUACCUUGGUGUGCCCAUAAGUGGGUUAACCUUUUAUUUUGUUAAUCUUGUAAUUAGUCUGUUAUGUCCUUGGAGGGAGUGGAGUUCCGCUACUGCUUUAGCGUCAUCUUGAGUUCUGUUUCCGGUUUUUGAAUUCUGAUUCCUGUUUGCUUGAUUCUGGUUUAUUCUGUAAAGUCUUGUUUAAUCGUGCACUCUUCUGUCUUCUCAUUUAGCUGCUGUAACAGAUGCAGGUUUCCGUCAUGUCAGAGAUCUGAGGACUGGUCUGUAGGAAUGAUGCACGUGGACACAAGAAUACCUGAUAUGGAUAUAAAUUUGUCAUCAGUAGAAGAUGUUCCUCCAUGCUGAAUGGAUCUCCAACAACCACCUCCUCUGUUCUGUUUCUGAGCCAUGCUGACUUUUUUAUCCAUCCCAUAAGUUCUUGACACCUUCUCUUGUCAUUUUGUCUUUUUUUUUGUCUCUCUCUUUUCUUUUUUGUAUUUCUGUGUGGCUUUUCAUCACAUUUUUCUCAUUUGUGUCACUUUGUGUUGUUUUGUGUCUCAUUUUUUGCUGUUUUGUUUCAUUUUGUGUUUCUUUUUGGACAGUUUUGUCUCUUUGUGGUCAUUUCGUCUCCACAUACUGCAGAUAUUUCCCUAUUUUCAGCUUCUACAAACCUUUCCUCUCUGCUUUGCUCAUCAUCUGUAGAAAGGUGCUGAAUGGAUCUCCAUCUACUUACCUGAGCCAUGCUGCUUUUAUUUAUUUUACUUUUACUCACUUAUAAAGAGUCAGUUGUUCUGAGGAGAGACCAGGUUUUUAUUUUUUCCAGAAUCUGGACAAUGUUUUGUCAUUUCUUAAAAUAAAAAGAUUUUAAUGACCAAACUCA